UACGUAGGGGGCAAGCGUUGUCCGGAUUUAUUGGGCGUAAAGAGCGUGUAGGCGGCUAGGUAGGUCCGUUGUGAAAACUCGAGGCUCAACCUCGAGACGCCGGUGGAAACCAUCUAGCUAGAGUCCGGAAGAGGAGAGUGGAAUUCCUGGUGUAGCGGUGAAAUGCGCAGAUAUCAGGAGGAACACCCGUGGCGAAAGCGGCUCUCUGGGACGGUACUGACGCUGAGACGCGAAAGCGUGGGGAGCGAACAGG
rnacentral:rRNA from 1 species